CCAGACUCCUACGGGAGGCAGCAGUGGGGGAUAUUGCACAAUGGGGGGAAACCCUGAUGCAGCGACGCCGCGUGGGUGAAGAAGUAUUUCGGUAUGUAAAGCCCUAUCAGCAGGGAAGAAAGAAGACGGUACCUGACUAAGAAGCCCCGGCUAACUACGUGCCAGCAGCCGCGGUAAUACGUAGGGGGCGAGCGUUAUCCGGAUUCACUGGGUGUAAAGGGAGCGUAGACGGCCGUGCAAGCCAGGAGUGAAAGCCCGGGGCCCAACCCCGGGACUGCUCUUGGAACUGUGCGGCUAGAGUGCGGGAGGGGCAGGCGGAAUUCCUGGUGUAGCGGUGAAAUGCGUAGAUAUCAGGAGGAACACCGGCGGCGAAGGCGGCCUGCUGGACCGCGACUGGCGUUGAGGCUCGAAAGCGUGGGGAGCGAACAGGAUUAGAUACCCUAGUAU
rnacentral:rRNA from 1 species